UGUGUAUCAGUACAUGGCAUAUCAAUAAGCGGAGGAAAAGAAACUAACUAGGAUUCCCUCAGUAACGGCGAGUGAAGCGGGAAGAGCUCAAAUUUGAAAUCUUCAAGGUUUUACCUUGACGAAUUGUAGUUUAAAGAAGUGUUUUCUGUUGGAAUUUUGGUAAAAGUUCUUUGGAAAAAGACAUCAAAGAGGGUGAGAAUCCCGUAUUUGACCAUUAUUUCCAGCUUUGUGAUACACUUUCAAAGAGUCGGAUUGUUUGGGAAUGCAGUCCAAAAUGGGUGGUAAAUUUCAUCUAAAGCUAAAUAUUGGCGAGAGACCGAUAGCGAACAAGUACCGUGAGGGAAAGAUGAAAAGAACUUUGAAAAGAGAGUUAAACAGUACGUGAAAUUGUCAAAAGGGAGGCGUUUGACACCAGUGUUGUUUUCUCGAAAAUCAAUUAAAAAAGAUUGGAUUUUGUGUUGUAUUGACUUUAUCAGCUUUCUGCACUCUUUUCUUGUCUUUUUUAAUGCACUUUUCGUUUAACAAGUCAACAUCAAUUUCUUUUGUUGUAAAAGAGUCAUUGGAAGGUGGCUUUCUUUUCGGAGAAAGUGUUUAUAGCCUUUGGAUCUCUGCAACCGGAGAGACUGAGGCCUGCAGCGUAGACUCUUCGGGGUUAGAUACAUUUGUGCUAAGCUAUAGCUUUUUAUAGACAACUUGUUGACUAUAUUUAGUCUUGUGGCUUACUCGCUUAUGCUAUUUUACCUACGCUUAGGAUGUUGACAGCAGUAUAGACUGU
rnacentral:rRNA from 1 species